CGGAUUUGGCGGCAAGAUAGCUUUUUAGAGGAACCUGCCCUGUGAACGAUGAUCCACGAGAGCCUUACUUUAUUUUGAAAUCAGUUUGUAUACCGCUGUUGUCAGUUAGAUUUUUGAGGAUAUUUUCUUUUUGGUAAAGCCAAUGACUUCAAGUAAAGGUGCAGCUUAUAGUAAAGUUAGAGGUGGGUUACAUUUAUAAGAAUAAGACGGAUUAAGGAUUUAAUUGACUUAUGAAGGUGGAUUUAACUGUAAAAUUGAAUUAGAUUUGGUGAUAGCUCUAUCUUGUGUACACACCGCCCGUC
rnacentral:rRNA from 1 species